UACAGAGGUCUCAAGCGUUGUUCGGAUUCAUUGGGCGUAAAGGGCGCGUAGGCGGCGGGGUAAGUCGGGUGUGAAAUCCCAGAGCUCAACUCUGAAACUGCACUCGAUACUGCUCUGCUUGAGGACUGGAGAGGAGACUGGAAUUCACGGCGUAGCAGUGAAAUGCGUAGAUAUCGUGAGGAAGACCAGUGGCGAAGGCGGGUCUCUGGACAGUUCCUGACGCUGAGGCGCGAAGGCCAGGGGAGCAAACGGG
rnacentral:rRNA from 1 species